AAUCCCCAACCCUUUCUAUUUCUUCCUGUAGGAGAAACUGCUGCUUUGACUGAGGGGAGAAGUAGAGGGGCGCAUAGCAACUUAAAAAAAAAAAUCAAUUCCAAGCAUCAAUUUUAGAGUGUCUACCCUUUUGAGAGUUUCACUACAUAACUUAGUCUGGCCUGGAACCAUGUAAACAGCCACGACUAGCCCAGUACCAAACGGUGCUGCCACCUCAGCCUCCCAUACCUGCAUAUUGUCUGCCAUCUUUAAAACUCCUGUCUUCCUAGGGUGCUGCUUUCAAGGCUAUUAGAAGUCCCCAACACAAGUGUAGGAGGUCUCCAGCCCCCGACCACACUUACUUUCUGAUACGCCCUGCUCCACGACUCUUUGGUGUCUUACACAAAAUACAGCUAGAACGCUCUUUGGCACUCCAAAUUCACUCUACGUUGUUUUCCAAGUCUGGUAGGAGAAUCCAACUAUUCAGUUACUCAUGUUUAAAUCCUGGGAGUCAGCCUCUCUCACAUCUAUCUAAUCUGUUUUUGCAGAAAUCCUUACGGUGUCUAAGUCAGACCAACAGUUUAAGAUUGCAUUUCCAGCCACACCUUAGAAGCC
rnacentral:lncRNA from 1 species